rnacentral:lncRNA from 1 species
ACGGGGAGGUGGAGUUCUCGCGGUACACGAAGCCUUCCUUGCUGAACUCGAGGCAGGGCACCCAGUUGUUGCGCAGCAGGUAGUCCACCUGCUUCAGCAGCUGCUCCUCCGUCAGCGGCGGCAGGUACGACAGCGUCUCGAACUUCUUGUUCCCGUACGCCGGCCACACCUGCAAAUUAAUGCAUGCAUCGAUCGAUGUACGUGUUUGUGGUUGCAUUUCGCUAGCUCUGCUGCAAAGAAUGAAUGAAGAUGGCCGGCCGGAGCCAAGAACGAAAGGCCAACUAGCUCUUGUGUUAAUUAUGUUGUUAUUACCUGCAUGCACCGGAUCCUGCCGCCGUUGCUGACUUUGGCGAGGCUGGUGGUGGAGCGGCGGGCGACGGGGAGGGUGGCGGUGGACUUGAGACCCUGGAACGGAGCGACGGCGGUGGCGGACGAGGCCAUCACGGUGGGCGCCAUUGCUGCUGCUAUGUAGUACUA